AACGAACGCUGGCGGCAUGCCUAACACAUGCAAGUCGAACGAGACCUUCGGGUAUAGUGGCGCACGGGUGCGUAACGCGUGGGAACCUGCCCUUAGGUUCGGAAUAACUCCCCGAAAGGGGUGCUAAUACCGGAUAAUGUCUUCGGACCAAAGAUUUAUCGCCUUUGGAUGGGCCCGCGUUGGAUUAGCUAGUUGGUAGGGUAAAAGCCUACCAAGGCGACGAUCCAUAGCUGGUCUGAGAGGAUGAUCAGCCACACUGGGACUGAGACACGGCCCAGACUCCUACGGGAGGCAGCAGUGGGGAAUAUUGGACAAUGGGCGAAAGCCUGAUCCAGCAAUGCCGCGUGAGUGAUGAAGGCCUUAGGGUUGUAAAGCUCUUUUACCCGGGAUGAUAAUGACAGUACCGGGAGAAUAAGCGCCGGCUAACUCCGUG
rnacentral:rRNA from 1 species